rnacentral:rRNA from 1 species
GGAGUAAAAUGCGGGCACGCCUGAAGCAGCAACGCCGCGUGAGGGAUGAAGGUCUUCUGCUUGUAAACCUCUGUAGUGAGGGAAAAAAUUUCCACUCUGUGGAAUAUGAUGGUACCUCAAAAGUAAGCCCCGGCUAACUACGUGCCAGCAGCCGCGGUAAUACGUAGGGGGCAAACGUUGUCCGGAUUUACUGGGUGUAAAGGGUGCUCAGGCGGUUUUGUAAGUCAGAAGUGAAAUCCUAGGGCUUAACUCUGGAACUGCUUUUGAUACUGCAAGGCUUGAAUGUGGAAGAGGAGGAUGGAAUUUCUGGUGUAGCAGUGAAAUGCGUAGAUAUCAGAAAGAACACCAGUGGCGAAGGCGGUCCUCUGGUCCACUAUUGACGCUAAAGCACGAAAGCGUGGGGAGCAAACAGGAUUAGAUACCCUGGUAGUCCACGCCUUAAACGAUGAAUACUAGACGUUGGGGUUAAACUCAGUGUCGCAGCUAACGCAUUAAGUAUUCCACCUGGGGAGUACGAUCGCAAGGUUGAAAC